UACGUAGGUGGCAAGCGUUGUCCGGAUUUACUGGGCGUAAAGAGCGCGCAGGCGGUCGUUCAAGUCGCGUGUGAAAGCCCCCCGGCUCAACUGGGGAGGGUCACGCGAUACUGAUCGACUCGAAGGCAGGAGAGGGUAGUGGAAUUCCCGGUGUAGUGGUGAAAUGCGUAGAGAAUCGGGGAAGAACACCAGUGGCGAAGGCGGCUCACUGGACUGGUAUUG
rnacentral:rRNA from 1 species